rnacentral:rRNA from 1 species
UACGGGGGGGGCAAGCGUUGUUCGGAAUUACUGGGCGUAAAGGGCUCGUAGGCGGCCAACUAAGUCGGACGUGAAAUCCCUCGGCUUAACCGGGGAACUGCGUCCGAUACUGGAUGGCUUGAGUUUGGGAGAGGGAUGCGGAAUUCCAGGUGUAGCGGUGAAAUGCGUAGAUAUCUGGAGGAACACCGGUGGCGAAGGCGGCUAUCUGGACCGACAUUGACGCUGAUGCGCGAAAGCGUGGGGGAGCAAACAGGG